rnacentral:sRNA from 1 species
AACUAGCCCUGAUGGAAGCGAUAUCUUUUUGUUUGAAAAACAAAAAAUAAAGCGAACAGCAGGAAAACGG